rnacentral:tRNA from 1 species
GCCUGGGUGGCUCAGUUGGUUAAGUGUCUGACUUCAGCUCAGAUCGUGAUCUUGCAGUUUGUGGGUUUGAGCCCCGUGUCAGGCU